rnacentral:rRNA from 1 species
CUCGUAGGUGGCCAACUAAGUCAGACGUGAAAUCCCUCAGCUUAACUGGGGAACUGCGUCUGAUACUGGAUGGCUUGAGUUUGGGAGAGGGAUGCGGGAUUCCAGGUGUAGCGGUGAAAUGCGUAGAUAUCUGGAGGAACACCGGUGGCGAAGGCGGCAUCCUGGACCAAUACUGACACUGAGGAGCGAAAGCCAGGGAGCGAAAC